rnacentral:rRNA from 1 species
GAACGAACGCUGGCGGCGUGCCUAACACAUGCAAGUCGAGCGAGAAAGUCCCCGCAAGGGGAUGAGUAAAGCGGCGAACGGGUGAGUAACACGUGGGCAACCUGCCCUUCAGUUAGGAAUAACCCCGCGAAAGCGGGGCUAAUACCGGAUGACGUCCUUUGGGGGCAUCCUUGGAGGACCAAAGGGGGCGAGCGUAAGCGGCUCCCGCUGAAGGAUGGGCCUGCGGCUGAUUAGCUAGUUGGUGGGGUAGCGGCCUACCAAGGCGACGAUCAGUAGCCGACCUGAGAGGGUGACCGGCCACACUGGGACUGAGACACGGCCCAGACUCCUACGGGAGGCAGCAGUGGGGAAUAUUGCGCAAUGGGCGAAAGCCUGACGCAGCGACGCCGCGUGGGUGAUGAAGGCCUUCGGGUCGUAAAACCCUGUCGGGUGGAACGAAUCUCCGCCUCGCUAAUACCGAGGUGGCUUGACGGUACCACCGAAGGAAGCCCCGGCUAACUACGUGCCAGCAGCCGCGGUAAUACGUAGGGGGCGAGCGUUGUUCGGAUUUACUGGGCGUAAAGAGCGCGUAGGCGGUUCGAUUAGUCGGAGGUGAAAUCCCUCGGCUUAACCGAGGACCCGCGUCCGAUACUGUCGAACUUGAGUGCAGGAGAGGAGAGCGGAAUUCCCAGUGUAGCGGUGAAAUGCGUAGAUAUUGGGAGGAACACCGGUGGCGAAGGCGGCUCUCUGGACUGUCACUGACGCUGAGGCGCGAAAGCUAGGGGAGCAAACGGGAUUAGAUACCCCGGUAGUCCUAGCCGUAAACGAUGGGCACUAGGUGUGGGAGGUAUCGACCCCUUCCGUGCCGCAGCUAACGCAUUAAGUGCCCCGCCUGGGGAGUACGGCCGCAAGGUUGAAACU